rnacentral:rRNA from 1 species
GUAGUCUCGCACAGAUGCAUAUCAAUAAGCGGAGGAAAAGAAACUAACAAGGAUUCCCCUAGUAACGGCGAGUGUAGCGGGAAGAGCUCAAAUUUGAAAUCUUAAAGGGUUUCCCUUUACGAAUUGUAGUUUAAAGAAGUGUUUUCUGUUGAGGUUUUGGUAAAAGUUCUUUGGAAUAGGACAUCAUAGAGGGUGAGAAUCCCGUAUUUGACCUUUACUUUCAACUUUGUGAUACACUUUCAAAGAGUCGGAUUGUUCGGGAAUGCAGUCCAAAAUGGGUGGUAAAUUUCAUACUAAAGCUAAAUAUUGGCGAGAGACCGAUAGCGAACAAGUACCGUGAGGGAAAGAUGAAAAGAACUUUGAAAAGAGAGUUAAACAGUACGUGAAAUUGUCAAAAGGGAAGCGUUUGACACCAGUGUUGUUUUUCUGAAAAUCAAUUAAAGAACUGUUUAUGCUAAGCUGUUUAGACUUUAUCAGCUAAUCUGUUUAGUUUUGAGCUUUUCUUUAAUGCACUUUUCAGUUAACAAGUCAACAUCAAUUUCUUUUGCUGUAAAAAAGCUUGAGGAAGGUGGCUUGAGAUUCGUCUUAAGUGUUUAUAGCCUCUUGCCUAUGCAGUCGGAGAGAUUGAGGUCUGCAGCGUAGAUCCUUCGGGGCUAAAUGCAUUUGUGCUAAGUUAUAGCAUUUUAUAGACAACUUGUUGACUAUGAUUUGUCUUGUAGCUUACUCGCUUAUGUUAUUUUACCUACGCUUAGGAUGUUGACGCAUGAGAUAUACGC